CAUGACUGUCACAUGUUCGCCCAAAACUGAGCCCUACAAUGAGUCAUUACGCCCUGGCGGAACGCAAGACUUGGAUAUGCAUGAAUAAGUAAAGAAAAUUACUCCUCCAGACAAGUGGCUUGGACAAUCUCCUCAGAAGACCAAUUCUUGAGAACUUCACCCUGGAUCCUCGGACGAACCCAAUUAUCGAUGUCACAAUCACAAUCACUAUCCCCAUCUUCAUUGUUGACCACAGAGACUAAUCUGACUUCUCCUUCAACCAUGUUAACGUUGGCUCCACCAUGCUGGGGCAUGGGAUUGUUGACGACAUUAGGAGCUGGUGCAAAGUUAACGGCCUUUGAAUCAAUGAGGUCCUGAACUACGUGCUUAAAAGCUUUGCAGUUCUCAAUAUUGUGGCCAGGUGCCCCAAAGUGGAAGCUACACCUAGCGUGCACAAAUUGUAGUUGUUGAAGACUAGAAAGCAACUGAGCGUACGACAUUGAAAGAGUGUCGAAACGCCGGUCGGGGGUCCUUGGCCUCGGUUGAUAGGCGGGUCUGUUACCUGUUGGAAGUAACUCAAGUCUUUCCCUUGUGUUGACUGGUCAUCUAAUUAGAGCCCACAAAGUGUCUUGGAGGAUGUUCAAGCUUCUUGGAUCCGAUUCAGAUUGCCAUGAUGAAAUACAAAUGCUAAAUGACCUAAAAAUGAAUGCAUGCAUGAGGUGUAAAGCGUAUGCUUCCAGGAAAAAUGAAGGGUAAAUUUUGGGGUAUUACCAAUCCCUACACUUCAAAUCCUAAUUCUUCUGUCCAUGGUCCUUGAUGAAACUUGUCGCUCAAGAAACCCUAGUUUGAGGUUCCUUUGAUCCUCAUUUUUUGCCAUCCAAUCACCCUACCACUCAUUCAACAUCAACAACAUCAUUUCAUGUCCAUUACAAACACAACCAACCAUUGAAAUAUCCAUCCAAUCUAUGUUGCGGGUAGUUCGUUCAUACUUGAUUUUUCAACUUUCCAUGACUUGAUCCACCACCAAUUUGACCUAAAAUAAUUCCAAAACAGUCCAAACGUUCAUACUUGAUUAAUGUUGUAUGAACGUCCAUGUGCAUUUCCAGCUUAUAAAGCGCUUCUGGAAAGCCUUAGAGAGCGCUUCCAUAAGCGCCCUCUUAGGCCCCCUUUAGAGGGCGCUUUUUUUCCACAAGCGCCCUCUAAUGUCCCCUUUGGUAAACAUUAAAAUUAUAACAUACUGCGCGUUUUGUUAUGGCAUGGAAAGUUAUUUUCGUUCUUUUUCACGUUAGGGUUCUAAGGCGUUUUCCUUCCACCUCUGUUAGAUCUACAUUAUUACUGCGCGUUUCCUCCUUCUACCAAUCAAAGUAAUGGAUAAUACAUGGAUGUCUUCCAAUCGAUUGUCGAGAGAGUACGAGAAUGGGGUAUAAGAAUGGGGUACGAGAAUGAUCAUAAUGAGGGUAUUUGGAUCAAUCCAACCGUCCGUGUUGUUAAGAGACAUGUAGAACAUAUUCCAACCAAGAAAAGAAAGAGAACUUAGUGAAAAAGGUAAAAAUGGCUAUUAUGAAGUCAAUCAUUCGUGCAAGGGGCAAGGGAUGCUCGAAAGUAUCAAUUGAUAUUUGUUUAGAUGGAGAUGCUCUAUUGUCGUCAAGCCUCAUUCGCGUAGAUGAUGUGCUGGAUAUUUGAAAGUAUCCCUCUACGACAAUGGAACAUGUCCAUCUAAACAUAUAUCAAUUCUAUCUUCAAAAGAUAAGGGACCAAAAAUAUAAGGGGAUUACGCAGCAAAUCGAGUCAGUUGCAUAAAAAGAAAAAGGUUCAUGCUAUUGAUAUUGAACAAAAAGAGGUUGUUGCUAAGAAGACUGCUGCUAGCAAAAAAAACAUACAUCUCAGAGAUGCUUUUGCUACUUAGUUUUAUUUCUUUUUAAGUUAUGAAUUGGUUGUAUAUAGAAUCUUUAGAAGUUAAACGAUUAUAUAUCAGUGGAUUGUUGUAUAUGUAUGGCUUGUUGAAUGCAAUGUGUGAAA